rnacentral:sRNA from 1 species
UGAAAGUUGUUGAUUUGUGACCAUAUCGA